AAGUGAAUACAGCAGUGGAUGAAUGAAAUAAGGUUUACUGAUAUGUAUGGAGAUGGACAUUGAAACCAAUGAUUGAGAUCAGGUACACCCACAGCCAGUAGGAGAAGAUCUGAGUCAUGACCAAGGUAAAAUAAGUAGAGAUAAUCAGGGAGGUGCUAAAGUGGAAAAAGAUUAAGUCAAGACCAAGAAUAGUAUUAAGGUCAUUAGUUGGGUGCUUGAGUAAGAGCAGGCUUAGAUCAGGACUGUGUCAAGGUAACCAGUUGGGUGCUAAAAAAAAAAAAAAUAAGACUGAAAACCUUUCAACAUUUAAUCAUUGUAAUAGAUUUAUUCAACAGAUUUUAACAUUACACAGGCCCGUGAAAA